rnacentral:rRNA from 1 species
GCGGCGUGCUAAUACAUGCAAGUCGAGCGAACGGACGAGAAGCUUGCUUCUCUGAUGUUAGCGGCGGACGGGUGAGUAACACGUGGAUAACCUACCUAUAAGACUGGGAUAACUUCGGGAAACCGGAGCUAAUACCGGAUAAUAUUUUGAACCGCAUGGUUCAAAAGUGAAAGACGGUCUUGCUGUCACUUAUAGAUGGAUCCGCGCUGCAUUAGCUAGUUGGUAAGGUAACGGCUUACCAAGGCAACGAUGCAUAGCCGACCUGAGAGGGUGAUCGGCCACACUGGAACUGAGACACGGUCCAGACUCCUACGGGAGGCAGCAGUAGGGAAUCUUCCGCAAUGGGCGAAAGCCUGACGGAGCAACGCCGCGUGAGUGAUGAAGGUCUUCGGAUCGUAAAACUCUGUUAUUAGGGAAGAACAUAUGUGUAAGUAACUGUGCACAUCUUGACGGUACCUAAUCAGAAAGCCACGGCUAACUACGUGCCAGCAGCCGCGGUAAUACGUAGGUGGCAAGCGUUAUCCGGAAUUAUUGGGCGUAAAGCGCGCGUAGGCGGUUUUUUAAGUCUGAUGUGAAAGCCCACGGCUCAACCGUGGAGGGUCAUUGGAAACUGGAAAACUUGAGUGCAGAAGAGGAAAGUGGAAUUCCAUGUGUAGCGGUGAAAUGCGCAGAGAUAUGGAGGAACACCAGUGGCGAAGGCGACUUUCUGGUCUGUAACUGACGCUGAUGUGCGAAAGCGUGGGGAUCAAACAGGAUUAGAUACCCUGGUA